AGAGCCGUGCCUGAAUAAAGGGCCACUUUGAUAGAGUGAAUCAUGGGGGUUAAUAUCCCUCCGACUCCU
rnacentral:tRNA from 1 species